UCUAAUAUGGCAGACAAGUGCAUUAGAUUUAAGCUCUAAAUAUAAAAUUAAAUAAUUUUUAUUAGAA
rnacentral:tRNA from 1 species